rnacentral:rRNA from 1 species
UUCGGUUGGUGGAGAGUGGCGCACGGGUGAGUAACGCGUGGGGAUUUGCCUUCUGGUACGGGAUAACGUUUGGAAACGAACGCUAAUACCGUAUGAUAUCUACGGAUUAAAGAUUUAUCGCCAGGAGAUGAACCCGCGUAGGAUUAGAUAGUUGGUGGGGUAAUGGCCUACCAAGUCGACGAUCUUUAGCUGGUCUGAGAGGACGAUCAGCCACACUGGAACUGAGACACGGUCCAGACUCCUACGGGAGGCAGCAGUGGGGAAUAUUGGACAAUGGGGGCAACCCUGAUCCAGCCAUGCCGCGUGAGUGAAGAAGGCCUUAGGGUUGUAAAGCUCUUUCGCUAGGGAAGAUAAUGACGGUACCUAGUAAAGAAGUCCCGGCUAACUCCGUGCCAGCAGCCGCGGUAAUACGGAGGGGACUAGCGUUGUUCGGAAUUACUGGGCGUAAAGAGUACGUAGGCGGCUAAUCAAGUUGGGUGUGAAAGCCCGGGGCUCAACCCCGGAACUGCACUCAAAACUGGUUAGCUAGAGAUCGGAAGAGGUAAGUGGAAUUCCCAGUGUAGAGGUGAAAUUCGUAGAUAUUGGGAAGAACACCAGUGGCGAACGCGGCUUACUGGUCCGAGACUGACGCUGAGGUACGAA